AUCCCAUGAUGUAGGCAUCUCCUUUGCAAAUCCUUGUAUCUCUCUCUCCCAUGCUUUAUAAAAGCUCUCAUCAUCUCUAGGUUUAAAAGAAGUAAGCUCAUUUCUUAGCUU